rnacentral:rRNA from 1 species
GAUGAACGCUGGCGGCGUGCCUAAUACAUGCCAGUCGAGCGAACAGACGAGGAGCUUGCUCCUUCGACGUUAGCGGCGGACGGGUGAGUAACACGUAGGUAACCUACCUAUAAGACUGGGAUAACUUCGGGAAACCGGAGCUAAUACCGGAUAAUAUUUCGAACCGCAUGGUUCGAUAGUGAAAGAUGGCUUUGCUAUCACUUAUAGAUGGACCUGCGCCGUAUUAGCUAGUUGGUAAGGUAACGGCUUACCAAGGCAACGAUACGUAGCCGGCCUGAGAGGGUGAUCGGCCACACUGGAACUGAGACACGGUCCAGACUCCUACGGGAGGCAGCAGUAGGGAAUCUUCCGCAAUGGGCGAAAGCCUGACGGAGCAACGCCGCGUGAGUGAUGAAGGUCUUCGGAUCGUAAAACUCUGUUAUUAGGGAAGAACAAACGUGUAAGUAACUGUGCACGUCUUGACGGUACCUAAUCAGAAAGCCACGGCUAACUACGUG